CCUCUGACCUGCAGUGCUACUGAGAUCCAUCGGCCGGCGAUCCUGAUGCUCAUCCCGGGAAACGUCUGGAAGAUUCGGCCCUUCAGAAGCUGCAGAGAAACAACACAGUUUGACUCACAUUAACGCUGUGUGAUGUUGUGAAUCGGGGCCAGUGUGUGUGUCUUGUGAAGCAGAAGGAAGCUCCAUGAAAAAUUUGGCAGGAAACCCAGAGACCCUCUCAAAUGAAAUGUAGAAAGAACACCGACCGACCCCUGACCUUUAACCUGACACCGCAUCAGAGUUUGCCAGCCUCGUCAGUACAGCACUGAACGCUGCUCUGUGUGUGUGUGUGUGUGUGUGUGUGCGGGAGAAAUCAUCAUCUGAUCCCAGAACAGCCUGAGAACACGAGUGUCGGAAGGAAACGGCGGAUGAAGAGUCUCUCUCUGUCAGAAGAGCCUGAACUGCAGAAAUACUGAGAGCCGACAC